rnacentral:rRNA from 1 species
AGUUUGAUCCUGGCUCAGGACCAACGCUGGCGGCGUGCCUAAUGCAUGCAAGUCGAACGUGGCGCUGUAAGGCGUGCGCGUGGCGGACGGGUGAGGAACACGUGGGGAACCUGCCCUGGGGUGGGGGGUAGCCCUCGGAAACGGGGGGUAAUUCCGCAUACGCUCAUCGACUGGUGGGGUUGGUGAGGAAAGUCGCGAGACGCCCUGGGAGGGACCUGCGGCCGAUUAGCUAGACGGUGGGGUAGUGGCUUACCGUGGCGAUGAUCGGUAACUGGUCUGAGAGGACGGCCAGUCACAGGGGGACUGAGAAACGGCCCCCACUCCUACGGGAGGCAGCAGCAAGGAAUUUUCCGCAAUGGGCGAAAGCCUGACGGAGCAACGCCGCGUGCGGGAUGACGCCCUUCGGGGUGUAAACCGCUUUUCUUGGGGACGAAGGACGUGACGGUACCCGAGGAAGAAGGCCCGGCAAACUACGUGCCAGCAGCCGCGGUAAUACGUAGGGGUCGAGCGUUGUCCGGAGUUAUUGGGCGUAAAGCGCGCGCAGGCGGUUGAUCGAGUCUGACGUGAAAGUUCCCGGCUCAACCGGGAAAGGUCGUUGGAUACUGGUUGACUUGAGGACGGCAGGGGUUGGUGGAAUUCCCGGUGUAGUGGUGAAAUGCGUAGUGAUCGGGAGGAACACCCGUGGCGA